AAACACUCUUUGCUGACCUCACUCCAGUGUCAACAGUAACAGGUGCACAGAGGCUGGAGAAAUACUCUUUAGACUUAAUGUAAUCUAUCCUGAGAAAGGAUCAUUUAAUUUGAAUAUGAAAUUUGCCAAUUGCGGGAAAUGACAGCAGGACCCAUUACAGUAUUCUGUGGCUGAAAUUUUAGCACCUGGCCUCAGAGAGAGAUUUGACUUGUUGUUUAGUUCAGGUCAAAGGUCUUCAGUCACUGCUGAUUAUGCUGUGGGGAAGACAGAUCUCUUCUCAGGCUUCUCUUUGGCAUUGUGAUCUAUGAUGGAUGCUUGCCAUUGCUGCUCCAGGAUUUUAUUGCGACAUGCUUUAAUCCAGGGCUCAACUAUCAAAUCUGUCCAGGUCACCCCGUGUCAUGCCUGCAGAAGACAAACUUAUACAACGUCAUCUGCUGCUUGUACAUCUGCCAUCUAAGGGCACGUAACGGCCACGUUUUCCUUGGAAAGGCAUCAAGACACAGAAGGGGCAGGGGGAUACAGAUUUACGCAGGGCUGAUGAGGGAUGAUGUCCGGAGUUCACCCACCAUUCCCAGUUGUCCAUUUAAAAAUCACAAUGCAUAAUUAUUAUAAUUGGCACAACACAGCCAUCAGCAGGAUGAUUGUAUGGAACAUUGUGUGUGUGGUGCUCUAAUGAGUUGGUGGUGGUGUACUAAACACUGCCACUGGAUUUCCAUCUCCAGGACGUAGGCAGGUCAGGGGAUCGUGGGAUCUGGCAUAAGAUUAAGGAAAUAAUUCUAAAAUGGAGUGCACAUACUUACCAUGUCUUCUCUGGCACUCCUCUGUCCAUCUGCAGAGUCCCUUGGGGCAACAGCAGAGUUCCCAAAACUUUACUUCACUGGGCAAAAAUAGGCACGAAUUUAAUCACUAUUACUAGUUUGUUGGACGAGACCUGUCAGACAAAAAAAAAGAAACAAAAAACAGUAAAGGCUGAACAGACCGGAAGAAACAGCACAGAUCCAAGAAUCUGCUUGACUAGCUACUUGGUGAUUAAUAAAUCAUGAAAGCUGCGGAAAUAGAUAUCAUCUCUCCGUCUCUUAUGCAGCUGUUUAAGGCUGGAAAAAGGCUGGAAACAGCUGACCUGCUGGUAUUGGGACAAAUGACUUUUCAAUCAAUAUUCACACCCCCUACACUGAAUUUGAACAUAAAUACAAUGUCCUGAGAUUAAGUGGAGAGAUCCUCCAUGGUAAUGAAAGCCAUCAGUAAUGAUUCUUAACUAACAGCAAAUAAUCUUUAGAAGGAAAAUAGCAUGCACAAUGCAUACAGACAUUUCUUUUCUAUGCUAUGGACUAAAUAUAUCUAAUAAUGAUAUAAUCUAAUUGUUAGCAAAAAUGUCUGUAAUGUAUGAAAAUUAAAAGUCCUUAUAAUGCAGAAAAA